rnacentral:sRNA from 1 species
CACUAGCCCUGAUAGCAAUGGUUACCCCGCAGCUUGCUUCGAAGGGUGGGUGGGUUUAGGUGUGGGGGACCCUUCGGCUUCGCUCAGGGUGACAGCGUGGGAAAGCCUCGGCGCGAGGAGUAUGAAUGGAUAGCAGGAAAUAGC